UACAAGGUAUCACAUAAACUGGAUCAUGUAUCAUGGGCAUUCUAAAUGUUAACCUCAAGUUGCUGAAUGUUUCUUAUUAACUCACAGCUUUAUGUCCAAAAAGUUGCAGAUGUGUGCUUACAGGUGCUACAGAUUGACUUUGGAGAAUAACCUGUGUGUCCUAAGUAGUCGUGAAGUCAGCAAGGUUCAAGUUUAUUUAAACGCCAGUAAAGUUAUCUAUUGCGUCCCAACCAUUUACCUCAGGGACUUGAUCCUCGCCAUAGAUAACAAGUGUCAGCGGAUGAAAUGUAUUUUGCCAGAACUUCUCUCCUAUUGAGACGUCAUUCCUUCAAACUACAAUUUAGUUAUUCUGUUGUCAUUGUUUGUUGCCUUAGAUGAUUUAUUUUGAUAUAGUGUCUAACUUCUUCUUUAACGUUAGCAGCGCUUUUUUUUGGUUGCGCAGCAGUGUGAAGUACGAUAGCUUUUAAUUUCCUUUUAUGCUCAAAGAUUGGUCUAUGCUAUAGUAAUGUUGAUUCUACGCCAAAUAUUAAUAUGAUGUUUAUUGUUUACAGAUUACUCUUGUCGUUAUUUUUACUCAAAAUGAUAAUCAAAAUUCAUUUGUUUAUGAGUGAUCAAAACGAUUAAGUAAAAGUAUUAAUUGUCAAAAAUUAGGUUUAAUUGUACAGCCCCGUAGCACAAUGCCAGAGUGUAUGUGGAGAUAAUGUGAAGUUGUGCCGGACAUGAUCCGGACAUGGGCCGGGCAAGCGGAUCGUGAGUCUCCCGAGGCUGAACUAUUUCAACAUUUUUUUUGAAACCUUAUUAGUCCACUUAAUUGAAUUUAUAAAAAUUUUCAGCUAAUUUAGUGAGUGUGAUUUUUCACACGGAUUUUAAAAUUUAUGAUUAUUAAAUGAUUUGUUCGUGUUUAAAAUUAACUUCCAAUCAUUAUAGUAUGUGCAACCACGGUUUAAUGGUUAUGGCACGCAGUGUAGUUAGUUAUUAAGUCUCUUGUCUCCUCCGGUGGUUUCCGGGUUCUAUUCCCCCUCCCUCCAUGGUUCCCUUUCGUGCUUGCAUAAAAUAAUCAUUACGCCCCUACUCGUAGGGACAGUAAAGAUAUUGUUUAACAUCUCAUAAUGGAAACCCCAGGAAAUGAAGUUGAGAAGGCAGAGAAGAAGUUAAAGGAUGCAAAAUUGGCUGUGAAG